rnacentral:rRNA from 1 species
CAGUCGCCGCGGUAAUACGUAGGUGGCGAGCGUUGUCCGGAUUUAUUGGGCGUAAAGGGAGUGUAGGCGGUCUUUUAAGUCUGAUGUGAAAGCCCACGGCUCAACCGUGGAGGGUCAUUGGAAACUGGGAGACUUGAGUGCAGAAGAGGAGAGCGGAAUUCCAUGUGUAGCGGUGAAAUGCGUAGAUAUAUGGAGGAACACCAGUGGCGAAGGCGGCUCUCUGGUCCGUAACUGACGCUGAGGAGCGAAAGCGUGGGGAGCGAACAGGAUUAGAUACCCCGGUAGUCCCUGUCUCUUAUAA